GACGAACGCUGGCGGCGUGCUUAACACAUGCAAGUCACGGGGGCUCGCAAGAGCAACCGGCGAACGGGUGCGUAACACGUGAGCAACCUGCCGAUCUGAGGGGGAUAGCCGGCCCAACGGCCGGGUAAUACCGCAUACGUUCUCGAGGGGGAGUCCUCUUGAGAAGAAACCUCCGGGGCAGAUCGAGGGGCUCGCGGCCUAUCAGCUAGUUGGUGAGGUAACGGCUCACCAAGGCAUCGACGGGUAGCUGGUCUGAGAGGAUGGCCAGCCACAUUGGGACUGAGAGACGGCCCAGACUCCUACGGGAGGCAGCAGUGGGGAAUCUUGCGCAAUGGCCGAAAGGCUGACGCAGCGACGCCGCGUGAGGGAUGACGGCCU
rnacentral:rRNA from 1 species